UACGAGGGGGGCGAGCGUUGUUCGGAAUUAUUGGGCGUAAAGGGUGCGUAGGCGGUUUGGUAAGUCUCUUGUGAAAUCUAUGGGCUCAACUCAUAGUCUGCAAGGGAAACUGCCGGGCUUGAGUGUGGGAGAGGUGAGUGGAAUUUCCGGUGUAGCGGUGAAAUGCGUAGAUAUCGGAAGGAACACCUGUGGCGAAGGCGGCUCACUGGACCACAACUGACGCUGAUGCACGAAAGCUAGGGGAGCAAACAGG
rnacentral:rRNA from 1 species